GACGAACGCUGGCGGCAUGCUUAACACAUGCAAGUCGCACGGGCAGCGAAUGUCAGUGGCGGACGGGUGAGUAACGCGUAGGUAUCUAUCCUUGGGUGGGGGACAACUGUGGGAAACUACAGCUAAUACCGCAUGAUGACCGAGGUCUAAAGGCGCAAGUCGGCCUGGGGCGAGCCUGCGUACGAUUAGCUUGUUGGUGGGUAAAGCCUACCAAGGCGACGAUCGUUAGCGGUCUGAGAGGAU
rnacentral:rRNA from 1 species